rnacentral:rRNA from 1 species
GGGGAAUUUUGGACAAUGGGCGCAAGCCUGAUCCAGCCAUGCCGCGUGCCUGAAGAAGGCCUUCGGGUUGUAAAGGACUUUUGUCAGGGAAGAAAAGGCUGUUGCUAAUAUCGACAGCUGAUGACGGUACCUGAAGAAUAAGCACCGGCUAACUACGUGCCAGCAGCCGCGGUAAUACGUAGGGUGCGAGCGUUAAUCGGAAUUACUGGGCGUAAAGCGAGCGCAGACGGUUACUUAAGCAGGAUGUGAAAUCCCCGGGCUCAACCUGGGAACUGCGUUCUGAACUGGGUGACUAGAGUGUGUCAGAGGGAGGUAGAAUUCCACGUGUAGCAGUGAAAUGCGUAGAGAUGUGGAGGAAUACCGAUGGCGAAAGCAGCCUCCUGGGAUAACACUGACGUUCAUGCUCGAAAGCGUGGGUAGCAAACAGGAUUAGAUACCCUGGUAGUCCACGCCCUAAACGAUGUCAAUUAGCUGUUGGGCAACUUGAUUGCUUAGUAGCGUAGCUAACGCGUGAAAUUGACCGCCUGGGGAGUACGGUCGCAAGAUUA